AUUGAACGCUGGCGGCAUGCUUUACACAUGCAAGUCGAACGGUAACAGGCCGCAAGGUGCUGACGAGUGGCGAACGGGUGAGUAAUGCAUCGGAACGUGCCCAGUCGUGGGGGAUAACUACUCGAAAGAGUAGCUAAUACCGCAUACGAUCUAUGGAUGAAAGCGGGGGACCGUAAGGCCUCGCGCGAUUGGAGCGGCCGAUGCCAGAUUAGGUAGUUGGUGGGGUAAAGGCUCACCAAGCCAACGAUCUGUAGCUGGUCUGAGAGGACGACCGGCCACACUGGGACUGAGACACGGCCCAGACUCCUACGGGAGGCAGCAGUGGGGAAUUUUGGACAAUGGGCGCAAGCCUGAUCCAGCAAUGCCGCGUGCAGGAAGAAGGCCUUCGGGUUGUAAACUGCUUUUGUACGGAACGAAACGGCUCUGGUUAAUACCCGGGGCUAAUGACGGUACCGUAAGAAUAAGCACCGGCUAACUACGUG
rnacentral:rRNA from 1 species